AAAGGAACUCAGCAGUCUCCUGAUCUUCAAACCAAUUAGCUCAGGAGAUGGUUCUUCAGAAACCUGUGAAAAAGGCUUGCAGAAAACUCAGACCCGCCACUGCCUAACCCGCUGGCUCUUAGCUGAAGUGAGCAAACAGAACUCAUGGAGAACUCCUAAUUAAGAAUGUCUCUAAGAAAGCUGAGAUUACUUCUAGUGCCGAAAAAGGGGGAAAUAUGAAUUAUAUGCAGAAUGAAAAUGCUCACAAAAAGAAGCCAUUGUGCCGAUCGAUGACUCACCACGUCUUGACUUAUUUCUUGCAUUCCCAGGUCUCUCAUUCUGGGGAAAGCCAGCUGCUAUGUCUUGAGGACUUUCAGGCCACCUGUGAGGAGGCACAUGUGGCAAAGAAGGGAGGCCUCUGGACAACAAACAGUGAGGAACUGAGGCCUGCCAACAACCACAUGAGUGAGCUUCGAAAUGGAUUCUCCACCCCCAGUCAAGACUUGAUGUGACUGCAGCUGUCGCAACAGCUUGACUGCAGCUUGAGACCAUGAGCCAGAACCA